rnacentral:ribozyme from 12 species
UAAAUUUUUUUUUUUUUUUUUUUUUUUUUUUUUCCGCCAAAAUUUUG